GUUCCCAGCUGGGCCCGCGCCAGGUGUUUACUGCCUUGGGUGCCGUGCCCAGCGCUGUCGCCUCCGUGAGGCGGCACCGCCUGGAAACCGCUGGGGUGUCAGGCUGAGGCUUUGACUCUCAUGAGAACUCCAGGAAAGAUAGAUCAGAGUUGUUUUUUUUUUUUUUCCCCUGUAUUUUUUCCCGUCACCCAGUAGUAUCCUUAGAACAUAUUUAUUGACUGGAAGAAUUGUACCGCUGCAUUCCUCUCUGCUUGUUUUGCAGCUCUCUAAAGGGACUUGGGAUCUCUUCUGUGGGGUUCCUUGGCCUGCUUGAGGAUGCUGCUCCACUGUAACAUUUACUCAAUAUUCAGCCUUUAGGGUGAACUUCGGCUAGCUGCAAUCUUCACAGAGCUUCCAGCUUGUAAUACUGAGUACAUGAGAAUAGUGGCAGAUUUGUCACUUUUUCUUAGUGUGCUUUUCAGAAGUACAUGAAUAACAAUAGUAUAAUAUUGUGGAGACAAAGGUGUUUUACAGUGUACUGGUUGCAGAAGGAAUGGCUGACUUUUGUCUCUCUUAAUGAGCUUUACUUUUGGGUGGGUUCCCAAAUACAUUGCUGAGGAGCCAAAUGGAGAAAUGUAGAGGUCCUGUGUAAUGGAGCAUUUCUGUGAGAUGUGAGUGGCUGAUGUAGAUGGCUGCUUUGACCACAGGAAUUGUAUUUCCCUUCUGAACCCCAGUCUGGACAGACUGUGUAGUGUCAGUGGGAAACAAAGAAAAAAGCUCCAGGAGAGCCAAAGCCUCUGAAGGGAGAGCAAGAAAAUGACACUUGACCUUGGCUUUUAUAACCCACUUUGCUUGGGUUUUCUUAAACUUACAAUAUUAUACAGAAGCAUAUGUAUUAUAAUGGUUUUCUUCAAUCAGUUCGAUGAAGUUGCAGUCCUCGUUGCAUACUUUCUGUUGAGAGUAAA